GUGGAUCCUAGAGGGCAGAUCUCUGGCAAGUUCCAGAAAGACUUGUAGAUUCUCAACAAGUUCCAUUGGCACACCACCACAGAAACUUCUCCACCACCUGCCGAGACACUGUGGUUCCCUCUCAGCCCAGGGCUAGGAGGAAGACUCUUCCUAGGACUCCUUGCAUCUGCUGUACCCACCUAUAUUCUUCAGGGCUAUCUUUACAACUUACUAGCCAACCUUUUGCUACUCUAAUCUGCUAUUAAGGUUAAUGAUUAAACAUAUUAAACAUUUCCAUUCAAAUGACUGUGUGGUUUCUCUCUCCUAGUUGGACCCAGACUGACACUCUUGCCUGAGGGCACAGACCAGGGAGCAGCAAUCAAUACUGGACACCAGGCAGCUUCCACGCUUGACAGUGUUGCCAGACCCUCGCGUGGGCAGGAGGGCACAGCUCUCUAGGAGGCAACAUUAUCCACUGGAGCAUCUAGAAGCACAAGUACUUCCAUGAUGGUCAGAGGCAGAAGAGGAUGCGGAGCAGAUGCUCCUCCUCCCGCCCCUCCUGCCGUUGGACAUCAGACUCCAGAUUCUUCGGCCUCUGGACUCUUGGGCUUGCACCGGGGGCUCUCAGGCCUUCAGCCACAGACUGAAGCCUAUGCUGUUGGUUUCUCUGGUUUUAAGGCUUUUGACUUGGACUGAGCCACUACUGGCUUCUCUCUUCCCCAGCUUGCGUAUCAUGGGACUUUGCCUUGUGAUUGUGUGAGUCAAUUCUCCCGAAUAAACUCCCUUUUAUAUACAUAUAUCCUAUUAGUUCUGUCCCUCUGGGGAACCGUAACUAAUAUACCUGGGAAGUAUAAAAUAAAGGCUCCUAGGUCCCA